rnacentral:rRNA from 1 species
GAUCCUGGCUCAGGAUGAACGCUGGCGGCAUGCCUAAUACAUGCAAGUCGAACGAGAGGAAGGAAAGCUUGCUUUUCUGAAUCUAGUGGCGAACGGGUGAGUAACACGUAGGUAACCUGCCCAUGCGCCCGGGAUAACUUCUGGAAGCGGAUGCUAAAACCGGAUAGGUAGCAGACAAGCAUUUGACUGCUAUUAAAGUGGCCUUGGCCAUGAACAUGGAUGGACCUGCGGUG